rnacentral:rRNA from 1 species
UUUUGGACAAUGGGCGCAAGCCUGAUCCAGCCAUUCCGCGUGAGUGAAGAAGGCCUUCGGGUUGUAAAGCUCUUUCGCAAGCCCAGAAAACUUACUUUCUAAUAAAGAGUGAGGUUGGCGGUACCUUGAUAAGAAGCACCGGCUAACUACGUGCCAGCAGCCGCGGUAAUACGUAGGGUGCGAGCGUUAAUCGGAAUUACUGGGCGUAGAGCGUGCGCAGGCGGCUUUGUAAGUCAGAUGUGAAAUCCCCGAGCUCAACUUGGGAACCCCGUUUGAAACUACAAGGCUAGAAUAUGUCAGAGGGGGGUAGAAUUCCACGUGUAGCAGUGAAAUGCGUAGAGAUGUGGAGGAAUACCAAUGGCGAAGGCAGCCCCCUGGGAUAAUAUUGACGCUCAUGCACGAA